rnacentral:tRNA from 1 species
GAGGGUGUAGCUCAGUGGUAGAGCAGGUAUUUAACAUGCACAAGGUCCUGGGUUCAAUCCCCAAUACCUCCA